rnacentral:rRNA from 1 species
GACGUAGGGCGCGAGCGUUGUCCGGAUUUAUUGGGCGUAAAGAGCUCGUAGGCGGCUUGUCGCGUCGACCGUGAAAACUUGGGGCUCAACCCCAAGCCUGCGGUCGAUACGGGCAGGCUCGAGUUCGGUAGGGGAGACUGGAAUUCCUGGUGUAGCGGUGAAAUGCGCAGAUAUCAGGAGGAACACCGAUGGCGAAGGCAGCUCGCUGGGACGGUACUGACGCUGAGGCGCGAAAGCGUGGGGAGCGAACAGG